rnacentral:rRNA from 1 species
UACGUAGGGGGCAAGCGUUGUCCGGAUUUAUUGGGCGUAAAGAGCGUGUAGGCGGCUUUACAGGUCCGCUGUGAAAACUCGAGGCUCAACCUCGAGACGCCGGUGGAAACCAUCAGACUAGAGUCCGGAAGAGGAGAGUGGAAUUCCUGGUGUAGCGGUGAAAUGCGCAGAUAUCAGGAAGAACACCCGUGGCUAAGGCGGCUCUCUAGUACGGUACUGACGCUGAGACGCGAAAGCGUGGGGAGCGAGCAGG